GUGGAUGUAGUUCAGUUGAUUAGAGCGCCAGAUUGUGGCUCUGGAGGUCGUGGGUUUGAGUCCCAUCAUCCACCCCA
rnacentral:tRNA from 1 species